rnacentral:lncRNA from 1 species
UCAUAACUGGCCUUUGAAAGUGUUUCAGUCAGCCUCUUGGUUUGUUUUCUCAUGUUUGAAAUGACAGUGAGUUCAGGCUCGCAGGGUUAAUGUUAGGGUUCUGUCAAGCACUUCGCACAAAUGGUAGCUAUGGUUAUUGUAGUUGCUUGGUGCUGAGAAUGCCCAAGACAUGAUAGCCCAGAGGUUGGAUCAGAAAGGGCUUCUCAGAGCCUAAUUUUCACAGUUGAGAAGAAGUUCUCCAGAAAGCAGAGUGGGAGAAGGAGGUCUAAAGAAGGAAAGGAGCACAUACAAAGAGCCACAAACGAGCACUGACCGACUCAUGGGUGAGCCUGGAGAGAUCAGGCUGCAGAAGUUAGCAGGGCUCUUGUUUCACCACACCAAGUAGUUUGGUCAGUGAGGAAUCAAUGAAAGGUUUUAAGUAGGAAGUUGAUCAGCAUGUGCCUCAGUAAAUCCUCUCUGAUAACAUGUGAAGAAGUAAUUCUCAGUGGGAGAGGUACUGUGAUUGCUUGAUUCCACAGCUUCCUCACCCCUGCCUAACUAAUCAUUGGAUCCCCUGUACUUUUUUGGACCCUAUCCCAGACCUACAAAACCAGAGUCUCCAGGUCUAGAACCCAGGAAUCUAUUGUUGUUAGAGUGCCCUAGGUAUUCUGAAUGUGGCUGGGUCUAGGAACUGCUGAAUUGAGGAGGCCUAGGGUUUUGUUUAAAGAAUGAGGCCACCCAGGGAGGAACUUUUUCAUAAGCAGGAAUAGAAACAGUUUUAGUUUUUUUUAAAAAAAGAGAAGCCUUCCCCCACUUCUCCAGUUGUUGCCCUAUUAAUGAUAUUCAACUGCUAAUUUCCCAUAGCAUAUCAAAAUGCUUACCUAUGUUUGUGAUGUUCUAUAGCCUCUGCUAAAUGACUGGAAUAUAGUGUCUCUUGGGACAAGGCUCUGCCCUUGGAAAUCACACAGUAUUGUGGAGAAGAUAAAUUUCAACUACUAGGUUAUUGUGAUCAGCUUUUUUCUAGAAAGAUACAAAAAAGCAUUAGCUCAUCCCAGGGUGAAUCCCAAUUCAUUCUUCCUGUGGACUUAGGAUGUGACACCUAAACUGAGGCAGGGGGUACAGCAGGUGUGACUGCAUUACAUAUUUGGAAAAAAGGAAUGUUUAAUGGUCCUUCUUGGCAGGAUGUGUAGAAGCAGAAAAUUCUGAGCAGAGGCAUACUUGUGUCCCAGGAAGGUCCUGCAUUUGUGUCCUUUGGUUCUGUGCCCAUGCUACCACCCUCAUUCUUCAAACUCUAGGCAGCAACCAGCUGAGUAGCUGCAUGCAGCAUGGAGAAGAACAUGUGCCGUCCUAAUGGCCAUCUCCCCUUUAUACUCUACCCAAUACUCUUGGCGCCCUUUGUGAUUUUCC